rnacentral:rRNA from 1 species
UAGGCGUAAAUGAUGCGAGUUAAGUGUGGGGGCAUCUACGAGAUGGCCCUGUGCUGUAGGGUAGCCGUUAAACUCGCUGCCUGGGGAGUACGGUCGCAAGGCUGAAACUUAAAGGAAUUGGCGGGGGAGCACCACAAGAGGUGGAGGCUGCGGUUCAAUUGGACUCAACGCCGGAAAUCUCACCGGGAGCGACAGCAGUGUGAUAGCCAGAUUAAAGGUCUUGCUAGACGAGCUGAGAGGAGGUGCAUGGCGUAGUCGUGU